GAUGAAGAACGUAGCGAAAUGCGAUAAGUAAUGUGAAUUGCAGAAUUCAGUGAAUCAUCGAAUCUUUGAACGCACCUUGCGCUCUUUGGUAUUCCGAAGAGCAUGCCUGUUCGAGUGUUAUUAAAUUCUCAAACCAAUAGCUUUAUUGUCUAUUGGCUUUGGACUUUGAGGGUUGUUGGUGCAAAUCGACUCCCUUUAAAUAUAUUAGCUGGCAUUGACUGCCAGACUAUGGUGUGAUAAUUAUCUACGCUAUUGGUCUGACAUGUUGGCUGCUUCUAAUCGUCUUCGGACAACACUCUUGAAAUUUAACCUCGAAUCAGGUAGGACUACCCGCUGAACUUAAGCAUAUCAAUAAGCGGAGGA
rnacentral:misc_RNA from 1 species